ACAGGUUCUCAGCCAAUCAGAAUCCGAUAAAUCUGUGUCGUCAUCGGGGCGUCAUCAUGAAACCGCUUAGUAGAACUUGUCAUUAUAUCAAUAGAUAUUUCUAAAAUGAUGCUUCAAAUAACGCUGUUCUCAGAUCGCCAGCUGUUCUUUCAUGUGACAUGCCUGAUGUUAUUCCUGGUGAUGAAAUAUAUGUAUUAGUAAUGUAGUAUAUUUCUGGUGUGUUCACUAUUGCAAUAAAUUAUACAAAUCCUGAAAAUUUUUGCUUGUAUUGUUAUGUGAUUGUUAAUCAAUCUCAUUAUUUUGAAUACUGUACACAUAAAGGAAGUAUGGAACCAUUAGAGUCAGGAUUCGGGCAUGAGGAUAGAGUCAUUUCCAACGACAGAGCCAAAACAAGUCAACAUCAUCUCAGUGGUUACAUACCUCAUCGGGAAUUCUUAGGAAGUUUUUACGCAUCCUGGCACCAGUUGUUUUCAAUAUACUCCGCCUCUCGAUAUUUCAAGUAUCAAAAACCUGAGUCUCAGGAUAGAUUAUACGGGACUCUACAGUAAUUACUUUACCUGCACUUGUGUAUUUCAGGGCCUGUCUGUGCCUUGCUUCCCUUUUCCUGCUUUCUUUCGGGUCGACGUUUGCCAAAUCACUCCACGAUCUGAUCGUACAUGGGGCGCCAUCUAGGAGUCCAGCCCUAUGGAUUAUCGCUCUGACCAAUGCCGUGAUAUGUGUGGUCCUGGCGAUCGCCAAGUUUUAUCUAGGAUAUGAAUUGGACAGCAAACCACUGAUAUCAGACGGUACGUUUAAGUUCAUUCCUUGGCUUCGUCUUGGCCUCUGGCAUCGUGUUGGAGACCAAAAUCUACAAUGAGAACAGAAGGGUGUGGUACCUCGAUUGUUCCUUUGGUGUCGUCUGCUCAUUGAUUCUCCUGGCUUAUGCAAUCAAGUUGUUUUAUGAUCUGAAUAUGAAAAGAAAGACUUCUAAACAAAUGAAGUUUGACCGUGACACCUCAGAGUUGAACUAUCGCACUACAGGGGAAAAAUAACAACGAUGUUUAAAAAGUGAUGUGCAAAAAGCGAUUCAACAAUCAGUGCAAUUAUACAUCGGAGGUAACAUGAUGACGUCACGUCACGUGAUCUCUGCUAUUUUGUCACGUAUCCUCUUGACGCUAUAUUUCAUUCCACGGAUUAAGUUGCUGGUGCCAUCUGACGGGGAGUUAGGAACUGUGAUUUAUAAAGCAAGUGCAAUGAGAUUUGUUCAAUUAUUGUUUUCAAAAGGGGGCAAUAGUGAGUUUUCGGAAAUCCCCCGAAACGCCAACGUGAACGCCUAUCCGAUUGUUCGACAUCGUGAUCGGGCGGGAUAGGGAAUGGAAUAGGAUAGGCGUUCGCUUUGGCGUUUCAGGGGAUUUGCGAAAACUCCCUAAUUUGCCGUCCUGUAACGUAACUAUGUUAUAUUUUAUUGGAAAGCCGAGAUCAAUUUUUGAUUGUAUACUGUAAACUUUAUCGCGGACAUGUUUCUACAUCAAAUUAUUUGUUGAUUAUUGACUGUAUAAUGCUGAUCAUGGAAGAUACCUGUCCAACUUAUUGGUUGUAUAUCAUCUUUAUCUGUAUCAUAGUCCGUUGUUUUGAGAAAGUUACGAAAAUUGCAUUACAUUUUUUCUCAUGUACAAAAGUGCGUAGAGGCAACGAUUACUAAAACAACGUCUUCCAUUCAGUUUGUGCCGAAUUCAAGCCCGAUUUCGAUGAUCAUUGACAAAAAGUCACCAAUGAAGGCCAUUAGAAAAAAUCUGGCCAUCAGUAUUUAACUUCAGUCCGUGUUUUAACCAUGACAUGUGAUAGGAAUAAAAUUCAA